ensembl:sense_intronic Gm19409 predicted gene, 19409
UUAAGUUCAUGUGCUUAUAGUACAUUUUUUUGUGAAUAGCAUCUUUCAGGACUCUUUAAAGUUCUUCUUUUUUUUUUCUUUUUUUCUUUUUUUUUUUUUUAAAGAGUCACUUUACAACCUUGGUAUAAGCAAGUCCUUACUGAUUUUGGCAGGACUUGAUUUCCAAUAACCUGUAAAUUUGAUGGAAAAACCAAAUCGAGCAAACAGUGGGCUUUGACAGUCUGACAGAGUGGAGAAAGAGCACGGUUGAGAGUCCCUCGUACCUCUGAGGCCUAUAUCCCUACCUCCUACAGCUGAGUGUCGGUGAGGGCUGCUGUCUGGUGGGGGCAAUUCCCAGGAUUGUGUCUGCCACCUGCCAACUUGCCCAGCUUGCCAUACCUAGUGUUGACAUGGAGUCCCAAGAUGUUUGCUUUUUCCCAGCAAGAAACUCAGCUUAAGUUAGUUUGUGCUCAUAGCCAGAAAGUUCUUCAUAGACAUGCCUGAACUCGAGGGCUCCUAACUACUGUGUGUACCUCAAUGCCAGCUUCCGUUGGUUCCUUUUUUCCUCUCCCAGAUUUCAAUGUAGUGUUAGGAAAUUCCUGCAAGGCAGUUCUAAUGAAUAAGAGGUAUUGGGUAUGUUUGGGGUUGUUUGUUUGCUUGUUUAACUCCAGGCCACAAAGGGAGGGAGGGCAUGGUCCACUCCUAGAACUCACCAUGACAGACUCUCUCAUUAGGGUUUCUGAGGUUGCAAACAGUGAGUUUGCUCCCAGGCUUUGCUCACUCAUGGCCUGUUGGCAGCCUCCUCAGGGCCACUCCCUGCCCCCGUGCCCAUCAGAUUAGUUUACAGUAGCAAAGACGGUUGUCGCCCUAGUUUUAAACAUAGAGAUGGGGUUCAGGAGGAUGACGGCCCCCAUCCAACAGUAGAAUCUGUUCUUUGUCGAAUGCCAAUCUGGGUUUAAAUGGCAGGAUGCGCCUGCCUGUGGUCUGAUGGGAGCUCUGGGGCCUGAGAGCUACAUUCCUUCCUCUGGUCCUCUCUGUGUCACAUAGCUCACCCAAAUACCCGAGGAGGACAGAAGGAGACAGCUGUGCUGGAGAGCUGCCCUUCCUGGGCUGAGUGUAUUUUGGGAAUCGGUGUUAUUACUGAUUCUGUGUGAUUACUGGGGUGGAGGGUGGUGAAUUAAGCAAGGAAAUGUGUCAAGGCUAGAGAGCUGAGGCGAGUGUGAGGUGCGGUGUUCCGUGUGCAGUGUGCUAUGGGACAAUACCGUCUCAGGGCAUCGGGGUGGCUUUUAUAUGGGUUAAUUUGCCUUUGAAAUACAUACCAGUGUUUUACGGAUAAUGACUGAAUGCUUUAUAAACUGGUCCUCUUAAGAAACAAGACUGAAACCGCUCUUACACACCGACCCAGCUGCUAUUGUAGGUAAUUGUUAAGAUCAGGGAGAGGGGCAUGAUUUGGACCAAGUUAGACCUAGAGCUGAGUGGUAUGUUAUGGUUUUAUAGCACUGCAUUUCCUUGAUCUUGAGACUACCCUGUAAUUUACCCACAGCUUUUAGGUAUAGGGGUGUGUGUGUGUGUGUGUGUGUGUGUGUGUGUUUGUAUUCUGAGCUACAUUCUAGUUUCAGAAGCAAGAAGUAGCAACCCUGCAAGGGGAGAUCUUUGUGUGUCUUUGAGUUAGAGUGUUGUUCGAUUUCUGUGGAGAUGCCAGGGCUGCUCCACCUAACAGCCCAUGCAUUGUCAAGGUGGGGACCUCUGACACCUUCCUCCAAUCUAAUGCUCUCUGUGGGCUUAGGUGACCAACUAGCCUUAGACAUGCUACUUACUGAACAAAACAGUUCCCACAUGGGAGUCCACUCAGAGCUAGAAUAGGGAACUCUCCAGAAAUUUAGCAAGCAGCUGGAAGCAAGCAUCUUUUGAAUUAUCCCUGAAUGUAGGCAAGCAGCAUUUUCAGAACCAUAUAGAAGAUCUAAAUUUUUGGGCCAAAAUGCAGGUGCUCUAGUUAUGUAUAGAAAUGUUUGUCAGGAUCUUAGACACACGCUAGAACUGGACAGGACAGAUGUCCUAAUGUCCUCAUUUCCAGGUUUUGACACGAGACUCUUAAGAGUUAAGUGAUUUGCCCCAAAGUGACUUAACUAACGUAAAGAGUAUAUGAGAGCAGUGUCAACUGUGUACACCGUGCAGUUGACUAUUGGUGGUUAUUAGGGUCUGAGUCAGGAUUAGAACUCACAUUUCCAGACUAGCACUAUUCUAUACAGCCACGAUGCUGCAUUUGUCACACUUAAUAAUCCAAAGGGCUGUAAUAAAAAUAAUUUAGUAGUCUGUAAUUAGCCCUGUAGACAAAGGCUGCUUUUAUUGUCUGAGGUGUUGCAAGGCCAGGCAAAAUGUAAUGUCAAAGCGUCUAAUUAAAUAUUUAUUCUCGCCACCUUACAAAUAACAAUUUUCCCUUACAAGUUCCAUUCCUGCUCUGGGACUCUUCUUUUGAAAACUGUGCAUCUACUGACUGAAAGCAAAUGCAAAGUUGGGUGUUGACAUCUUCUCGGCUUAUCUCCAAGGCUGCUGUGUUCUGGAAAGCAAAGCAGAGAGCUCAGACCUGGGGCUGAGUGGAAGCAAACCUGAGGGGCAGCUUCAGGGCUCCCUCCCAGCACUCAGAUGGAGCCUGGCAUAGGUCCUGGGAGCCACAGGGAUGUCUCACCCCCUCCUUUAGAAACUAAGUUGAUGGGACUGGAGAGAUGGCUCAGUGGUUAAGAGCACUGAUUGCUCUUCCAGAGGUCCUGAGUUCAAUUCCCAGAAACCACAUGAUGGCUUACAACCAACUGUAAUGGGAUCUGAUACCCUCUUCUGGUGUGUCUGAAGACAGCUACAGUGUACUCAUAUACAUAAAAUAAAUGAAAAAAGAUU